GUAACGGGCGCAACCCUUGUCCUUAGUUACCAGCACGUUAUGGUGGGCACUCUAAGGAGACUGCCGGUGACAAACCGGAGGAGGUGGGGAUGACGUCAAGUCAUCAUGGCCCUUACGGCCUGGGCUACACACGUGCUACAAUGGUCGGUACAAAGGGUUGCCAAGCCGCGAGGUGGAGCUAAUCCCAUAAAACCGAUCGUAGUCCGGAUCGCAGUCUGCAACUCGACUGCGUGAAGUCGGAAUCGCUAGUAAUCGUGAAUCAGAAUGUCACGGUGAAUACGUUCCCGGGCCUU
rnacentral:rRNA from 1 species